UUUACAUCUUUCGGCAACUCGAAACUGACUGUAAUCACUGUGAACAGAAACGACACAGGGACGUACAAGUGCAUCGCCAGCAACUCUUUCAGCGGUGGCGCUGGAGAGACGUACGUGCAAGUUUACUGCGGCUGCACAGCCCCAGAAACAGGCGACAAUUUCACCCUAGGCGCUGCCGCGAUCGUGGGCAUUGUACUGGGUUCUCUUGCCGGAGGACUGAUCGGCGGAGUCUGCGCAUGGUUAUUCGCAAGGAAAAUUGGCGGGAUCAAAGAUCCCCCACAAUCCCAAUACGACACGAGCAUCGAUUCCGGACGGAACAGCACCUUGGAUACAAACACCGUGAACUCAUCGGGAACCUAUGAAAAUCUCUCAAGGAAUGAACAGGGCGCAAGGCACAAUGCACAAGAUGGAAACUCCACUUACACGG